rnacentral:rRNA from 1 species
UACAGAGGUCUCAACCGUUGUUCGGAUUCAUUGGGCGUAAAGAGCUCGUAGGCGGUUUGUCACGUCUGCUGUGAAAACUGGAGGCUCAACCUCCAGCCUGCAGUGGGUACGGGGCAGACUAGAGUGCGGUAGGGGAGUUUGGAAUUCCUGGUGUAGCGGUGGAAUGCGCAGAUAUCAGGAGGAACACCGAUGGCGAAGGCAGAUCUCUGGGCCGUAACUGACGCUGAGAAGCGAAAGCAUGGGGAGCGAACAGG